CCUACGGGAGGCAGCAGUGAGGAAUAUUGGUCAAUGGGCUUACGCCUGAACCAGCCAAGUCGCGUGAGGGAAGACUGCCCUAUGGGUUGUAAACCUCUUUUGUCAGGGAGCAACGCCGGCUACGUGUAGCCGGACUGAGAGUACCUGAAGAAAAAGCCUCGGCUAACUCCGUGCCAUCAGCCGCGGUAAUACGGAGGAUGCGAGCGUUAUCCGGAUUUAUUGGGUUUAAAGGGUUCGUAGGUGGUUUGACAAGUUAGUAGCGCAAAUCCGGAGGUCAACUUCGGAACUACUACUGAAACUGUUGGACUUGAGUGCAGGAGAGGCAAUCGGAAGUCCUAGUGUAGCGGUGGAAUGCGUAGAUAUUAGGAGGAACACCAGUGGCGAAGGCGGAUUGCUAGACUGUAACUGACACUGAGGCACGAAAGCGUGGGGAGCGAACAGGAUUAGAUACCCGAGUAGUC
rnacentral:rRNA from 1 species